rnacentral:tRNA from 1 species
GAAAAUAUAGUUAAAACUAUAACAUUAACUUGUCAAGUUAAAAUUACCUAUUAGGAGGUUUUUA